AGAGAAAGCAAAAGCGAUUGCCUUAGUAGCGGCGAGCGAAACGGCAAGAGGGCAAACCGAAGAGUUUACUCUUCGGGGUUGUAGGACUGCAACGUGGACUUAAAGAUUAUAGAAGAACUACCUGGGAAGGUAGGCCAAAGAGAGUAAUAGCCUCGUAUUCGAAAUAGUCUUUAUACCUAGCAGUAUCCUGAGUACGGCGAGACACGAGAAAUCUCGUCGGAAUCUGGGAGGACCAUCUCCCAACCCUAAAUACUCUCUAGUGACCGAUAGUGAACCAGUACCGUGAGGGAAAGGUGAAAAGCACCCCGGGAGGGGAGUGAAAUAGAACCUGAAACCGUGUGCCUACAACAAGUUCGAGCCCGUUAAUGGGUGAGAGCGUGCCUUUUGUAGAAUGAACCGGCGAGUUACGAUAUGAUGCGAGGUUAAGUUGAAGAGACGGAGCCGUAGGGAAACCGAGUCUUAAUAGGGCGCAUUAGUAUCAUGUCGUAGACCCGAAACCAUGUGACCUACCCAUGAGCAGGUUGAAGGUGAGGUAAAACUCACUGGAGGACCGAACCAGGGCACGUUGAAAAGUGCUUGGAUGACUUGUGGGUAGCGGAGAAAUUCCAAACGAACUUGGAGAUAGCUGGUUCUCUCCGAAAUAGCUUUAGGGCUAGCGUCGACAUUAAGAUUCUUGGAGGUAGAGCACUGUUUGGGUGAGGGGUCCAUCCCGGAUUACCAAUCUCAGAUAAACUCCGAAUGCCAACGAGAUAUAAUCGGCAGUCAGACUGCGAGUGCUAAGAUCCGUAGUCGAAAGGGAAACAGCCCAGACCACCAGCUAAGGUCCCAAAAUAUAUGUUAAGUGGAAAAGGAUGUGGGGUUGCACAGACAACUAGGAUGUUAGCUUAGAAGCAGCUAUUCAUUCAAAGAGUGCGUAAUAGCUCACUAGUCGAGUGACCCUGCGCCGAAAAUGUACCGGGGCUAAAACAAUUUACCGAAGCUGUGGAUACCUUUAUAGGUAUGGUAGGAGAGCGUUCUAUGUGCGAAGAAGGUGUACCGUGAGGAGUGCUGGAGCGCAUAGAAGUGAGAAUGCCGGUAUGAGUAGCGAAAGACAGGUGAGAAUCCUGUCCACCGUAAGACUAAGGUUUCCAGGGGAAGGCUCGUCCGCCCUGGGUUAGUCGGGACCUAAGGAGAGACCGAAAGGUGUAUCCGAUGGACAACAGGUUGAUAUUCCUGUACUAGAGUAUAUAGUGAUGGAGGGACGCAGUAGGCUAACUAAACCAGACGAUUGGAAGUGUCUGGCCAAGCAGUGAGGUGUGAUAUGAGUCAAAUGCUUAUAUCUAUAACAUUGAGCUGUGAUGGGGAGCGAAGUUUAGUAGCGAAGUUAGUGAUGUCACACUGCCAAGAAAAGCUUCUAGCGUUAAUUAUACUCUACCCGUACCGCAAACCGACACAGGUAGUCGAGGCGAGUAGCCUCAGGUGAGCGAGAGAACUCUCGUUAAGGAACUCGGCAAAAUGGCCCCGUAACUUCGGGAGAAGGGGCGCUGACUGAUAGUCAGCCGCAGUGAAUAGGCCCAAGCAACUGUUUAUCAAAAACACAGCUCUCUGCUAAAUCGUAAGAUGAUGUAUAGGGGGUGACGCCUGCCCGGUGCUGGAAGGUUAAGAGGAGUGCUUAGCGGUAACGCGAAGGUAUGAAUUGAAGCCCCAGUAAACGGCGGCCGUAACUAUAACGGUCCUAAGGUAGCGAAAUUCCUUGUCGGGUAAGUUCCGACCCGCACGAAAGGCGUAAUGAUUUGGGCACUGUCUCAACGAGAGACCCGGCGAAAUUGUAGUACCGGUGAAGAUGCCGGUUACCCGCGACAGGACGGAAAGACCCCAUGGAGCUUUACUGUAGCUUGA
rnacentral:rRNA from 1 species